rnacentral:lncRNA from 1 species
UGUUAAAUUAUUAGCCAAUUAAUAAACCGCACAUCAGCCGAGCUACUUAUUUAUAAUGCGUUAAAAUUCAAACAUAAUAUUUAGUCUCAUUAAUCUUGAAAUAGAAUCUCGUUCCAUUAACCACUCGAUGGAGUCUUAAUGAAAGUGGCAAAUUGCAAAAUCCUGUUAUUGCGAGAAGUUGUGUGAUAUCCGAUAAAAUUAAUAGCACAAAUUUCAAGUGCUAUCGAGUUUCAGACAAUUAAUUAAAACCGGAGAACCAUCAGUUUUGCAGAAAUGACUUCGAUUGACCGCAGUUUUCUCCAACCGUGUUACUUUACGGUAUGCUGUUCUGUACUAAAGACUUAAUAAUAACAUCAGAAAGAAGAAAGGCUCAAUUUCUUUAUAGAAACGUGACUCUACCAAGUUAUCCGUGUCUAAAAUUAUCCGUCUACGUAACGGUUUUUCAUAUGCCAUUAAUGUCACGAGGCGUUAAUCGUUGUUUGUUGUUUAACACGAAAAACCAUUUCGUUCAACCAACUCAUUCAAUGCAGCAGCUUUAUGCCUUUGGAUUGGAAUCCUUGGUCAAAAGGUUAAGGACGCAAUGUGCACUGCGGGCUAGCUAAUGUUGGAUACCAUUUAACUUUAAAUGAAAGUCUAUUAUGGAAUUUUAUUUUUAAUUUGUAGAAACGAAUGAGAACUGGUUUCCACACAUGAUUUCUCUUGCUUUUAUUUACUUUAACUUUUUCUUCUUUUUUUUUGUAUUAAUAACAAUAUAAUAAACACAUUAAAUUGUUUAACUUUUUAUAAUUUUUUAUUCUCUUUUUGAGGAUUAAAUUAUAUUUUUCGUUUCUU